UGGUUUUUUGUUUGAGCCCCCCCUCCCUCCCUUGGCCCCCUGGCCUGCCUCUCCCUCUCCCUCUGCCUCUGCCUGGUUGGGGAAGCGGAAGGGGAUGGGGGGACGGGCGCCUGCCUGCUUUGGUUUCUCCUCCCCUCCCCUCCUCUCCCCUCCCCGACCCGGCACGGCUCGGCGCGGCUCGGCGGCCCGGUGCUGCUGGUCUGGUCUGGUGGUGGUCGCGACGCCUACGCUACGCGCAGGAGUACGUGCGACUGCUACCGUACCGAUGAGGCGCUGCUCCACCGCUACGAUUUGUGGUGUGGUGUGGUUGGGUCUGGGUGGCGUGCCUGCCUUUUUCUAUUAAAAUCUCGCCGUCGCCUGGAUUUGGGGUCGGCGUCCCUU
rnacentral:lncRNA from 1 species